rnacentral:rRNA from 1 species
CCUACGGGUGGCUGCAGUGGGGAAUAUUGGACAAUGGGCGAAAGCCUGAUCCAGCCAUGCCGCGUGUGUGAAGAAGGCCUUCGGGUUGUAAAGCACUUUCAGUGGGGAAGAAAGCCUUGGGCUAAUACCCUCGAGGAAGGACAUCACCCACAGAAGAAGCACCGGCUAACUCCGUGCCAGCAGCCGCGGUAAUACGGAGGGUGCGAGCGUUAAUCGGAAUUACUGGGCGUAAAGCGCGCGUAGGCGGUCUGAUAAGCCGGUUGUGAAAGCCCCGGGCUCAACCUGGGAACGGCAUCCGGAACUGUCAGGCUAGAGUGCAGGAGAGGAAGGUAGAAUUCCCGGUGUAGCGGUGAAAUGCGUAGAGAUCGGGAGGAAUACCAGUGGCGAAGGCGGCCUUCUGGACUGACACUGACGCUGAGGUGCGAAAGCGUGGGUAGCAAACAGGAUUAGAUACCCCGGUAGUC